GUAACAAGGUUUCCGUAGGUGAACCUGCGGAAGGAUCAUUACCGAGUGAGGGCCCUCUGGGUCCAACCUCCCACCCGUGUUUUCCGAACCCUGUUGCUUCGGCGGGCCCGCCUCACGGCCGCCGGGGGGCUUCCGCCCCCGGGCCCGCGCCCGCCGAAGACACCUGUGAACGCUGUCUGAAGUUGCAGUCUGAGAAACUAGCUAAAUUAGUUAAAACUUUCAACAACGGAUCUCUUGGUUCCGGCAUCGAUGAAGAACGCAGCGAAAUGCGAUAACUAAUGUGAAUUGCAGAAUUCAGUGAAUCAUCGAGUCUUUGAACGCACAUUGCGCCCUCUGGUAUUCCGGAGGGCAUGCCUGUCCGAGCGUCAUUGCUGCCCUCAAGCACGGCUUGUGUGUUGGGCCCCCGCCCCCCCCCGCGCUGGGGGGGCGGGCCCGAAAGGCAGCGGCGGCACCGCGUCCGGUCCUCGAGCGUAUGGGGCUUCGUCACCCGCUCUUGUAGGCCCGGCCGGCGCCAGCCGACCCCCCUCAAUCUAUUUUUUCAGGUUGACCUCGGAUCAGGUAGGGAUACCCGCUGAACUUAAGCAUAUCAAUAAGCCNGAGGAA
rnacentral:misc_RNA from 1 species